rnacentral:rRNA from 1 species
UAGGGAAUCUUCGGCAAUGGACGAAAGUCUGACCGAGCAACGCCGCGAGAGUGAAGAAGGUUUUCGGAUCGUAAAACUCUGUUGUUAGAGAAGAACGUUGCAUAGAGUGGAAAAUUAUGCAAGUGACGGUAUCUAACCAGAAAGGGACGGCUAACUACGUGCCAGCAGCCGCGGUAAUACGUAGGUCCCGAGCGUUGUCCGGAUUUAUUGGGCGUAAAGCGAGCGCAGGUGGUUUAAUAAGUCUGAUGUAAAAGGCAGUGGCUCAACCAUUGUGUGCAUUGGAAACUGUUAGACUUGAGUGCAGUAGAGGAGAGUGGAAUUCCAUGUGUAGCGGUGAAAUGCGUAGAUAUAUGGAGGAACACCGGUGGCGAAAGCGGCUCUCAGGACUGUCACUGACACUGAGGCUCGAAAGCGUGGGUAGCAAACAGGAUUAGAU